rnacentral:lncRNA from 1 species
GGGAUCCACAGUCUACAAAACCCCACAUCCCCUGAGAAUUCUCUCGCCUGCCUUAGGCACUUAGGCUCCGGGAGAUUGCAAAUAACCUGCUUUCUUUCUGUUCCCGGGCUGCGUUCGGACUCCUGUCAGAUAGUAAAUCCUAAGUAAGGUGGCGUCGGACCCCUGUCAGAGAGUAAAUCUCAAGUAAGGUACCUGCCAUCGGCAGAUUUGAGCUUUCUUCUUGGACACCUAAUACCCACAGUCCUCCAGGCUCCGGUAGACUGCAAAUGACCUGCUUUCUUUCUGUUCCCGGGCUGCGUUUGGACCCCUGUCGGAUAGUAAAUCCCAAGUAAGGUACCUGCCCUCGGCAGAUUUGAGCUUUCUUCUUGGACACCUAAUACCCACAGUCCCCCAGGCUCCGGUAGACUGCAAAUGACCUGCUUUCUUUCUGUUCCCGGGCUGCGUUUGGACCCCUGUCGGACAGUAAAUCCCAAGUAAGGUACCUGCCCUCGGCAGAUUUGAGCUUUCUUCUUGGACACCUAAUACCCACAGUCCUCCAGGAAUGGAACAGAUAAGAAGAUACUGAAAUUGGACGGUGCUGCCGUGCGGCUGCCGCAGGACACCUUUAAUAUCCCUGUUUCUCAGGCUGUAGAUGAAGGGGUUCAGCAUGGAGGUGAUCACCGUGUACAUCACUGAGGCCACUGCAGCCUUUCUCGGGGAAGAUGACACAUCUGAACUGAGGUACCCUCCAAAGCCUGUUCCGUAAAAUCAGCAAACAACUGACAGGAUAACUUCAGGAAGUGGGUAUUAAUUCUCACGGUAUAAGUGAAGACAUUAAGCACCAGAGUUUAAGUAGCUUGAUCCACUGAAAGAGAUUCAACUGUGUGGAACCUAUGCCGUGGAGAAUUGCUUUCUGCCAUUGUUAUCGUCCAGCAGUUGCCGAAUAGCUCUGACCUGAGCAAAGCAGUGAAACGCGGUGCUGUUGAGUGGGUUGCCACUGCACCUUUUUCAACUACUCUAGUCUUGUGGAGAAAAUACCCCUUCUAAAUUUUUUCUUCAUUGAAUACUCUCCCUCAGCUCCAGAGUACCAUAUAGAGUUUUCUUGUAUUUUAGAGUUACUGUUUUAUCAAAGUUUACCAGUCUUUUGUAUUACAUUUCUCCUGUCUAAAUCGACUGUGUGGUUUCUACUCAUUAUGGAUAUAGAUUGAUACAAACUCAAUAAAUAUUUUUGAAUGAAUAA